CCGCAGCCUGCAGCCCGAGACUUCUGUAAAGGACUGGGGCCCCGCAACUGGCCUCUCCUGCCCUCUUAAGCGCAGCGCCAUUUUAGCAACGCAGAAGCCCGGCGCCGGGAAGCCUCAGCUCGCCUGAAGGCAGGUCCCCUCUGACGCCUCCGGGAGCCCAGGUUUCCCAGAGUCCUUGGGACGCAGCGACGAGUUGUGCUGCUAUCUUAGCUGUCCUUAUAGGCUGGCCAUUCCAGGUGGUGGUAUUUAGAUAAAACCACUCAAACUCUGCAGUUUGGUCUUGGGGUUUGGAGGAAAGCUUUUAUUUUUCUUCCUGCUCCGGUUCAGAAGGUCUGAAGCUCAUACCUAACCAGGCAUAACACAGAAUCUGCAAAACAAAAACCCCUAAAAAAGCAGACCCAGAGCAGUGUAAACACUUCUGGGUGUGUCCCUGACUGGCUGCCCAAGGUCUCUGUGUCUUCGGAGACAAAGCCAUUCGCUUAGUUGGUCUACUUUAAAAGGCCACUUGAACUCGCUUUCCAUGGCGAUUUGCCUUGUGAGCACUUUCAGGAGAGCCUGGAAGCUGAAAAACGGUAGAAAAAUUUCCGUGCGGGCCGUGGGGGGCUGGCGGCAACUGGGGGGCCGCAGAUCAGAGUGGGCCACUGGCAGCCAACGGCCCCCGGGGCUCAGGCGGGGAGCAGCUCUGUGGUGUGGGAUUGAGGCGUUUUCCAAGAGUGGGUUUUCACGUUUCUAAGAUUUCCCAAGCAGACAGCCCGUGCUGCUCCGAUUUCUCGAACAAAAAAGCAAAACGUGUGGCUGUCUUGGGAGCAAGUCGCAGGACUGCAAGCAGUUGGGGGAGAAAGUCCGCCAUUUUGCCACUUCUCAACCGUCCCUGCAAGGCUGGGGCUCAGUUGCGUAAUGGAAAGUAAAGCCCUGAACUAUCACACUUUAAUCUUCCUUCAAAAGGUGGUAAACUAUACCUACUGUCCCUCAAGAGAACACAAGAAGUGCUUUAAGAGGUAUUUUAAAAGUUCCGGGGGUUUUGUGAGGUGUUUGAUGACCCGUUUAAAAUAUGAUUUCCAUGUUUCUUUUGUCUAAAGUUUGCAGCUCAAAUCUUUCCACACGCUAGUAAUUUAAGUAUUUCUGCAUGUGUAGUUUGCAUUCAAGUUCCAUAAGCUGUUAAGAAAAAUCUAGAAAAGUAAAACUAGAACCUAUUUUUAACCGAAGAACUACUUUUUGCCUCCCUCACAAAGGCGGCGGAAGGUGAUCGAAUUCCGGUGAUGCGAGUUGUUCUCCGUCUAUAAAUACGCCUCGCCCGAGCUGUGCGGUAGGCAUUGAGGCAGCCAGCGCAGGGGCUUCUGCUGAGGGGGCAGGCGGAGCUUGAGGAAACCGCAGAUAAGUUUUUUUCUCUUUGAAAGAUAGAGAUUAAUACAACUACUUAAAAAAUAUAGUCAAUAGGUUACUAAGAUAUUGCUUAGCGUUAAGUUUUUAACGUAAUUUUAAUAGCUUAAGAUUUUAAGAGAAAAUAUGAAGACUUAGAAGAGUAGCAUGAGGAAGGAAAAGAUAAAAGGUUUCUAAAACAUGACGGAGGUUGAGAUGAAGCUUCUUCAUGGAGUAAAAAAUGUAUUUAAAAGAAAAUUGAGAGAAAGGACUACAGAGCCCCGAAUUAAUACCAAUAGAAGGGCAAUGCUUUUAGAUUAAAAUGAAGGUGACUUAAACAGCUUAAAGUUUAGUUUAAAAGUUGUAGGUGAUUAAAAUAAUUUGAAGGCGAUCUUUUAAAAAGAGAUUAAACCGAAGGUGAUUAAAAGACCUUGAAAUCCAUGACGCAGGGAGAAUUGCGUCAUUUAAAGCCUAGUUAACGCAUUUACUAAACGCAGACGAAAAUGGAAAGAUUAAUUGGGAGUGGUAGGAUGAAACAAUUUGGAGAAGAUAGAAGUUUGAAGUGGAAAACUGGAAGACAGAAGUACGGGAAGGCGAAGAAAAGAAUAGAGAAGAUAGGGAAAUUAGAAGAUAAAAACAUACUUUUAGAAGAAAAAAGAUAAAUUUAAACCUGAAAAGUAGGAAGCAGAAGAAAAAAGACAAGCUAGGAAACAAAAAGCUAAGGGCAAAAUGUACAAACUUAGAAGAAAAUUGGAAGAUAGAAACAAGAUAGAAAAUGAAAAUAUUGUCAAGAGUUUCAGAUAGAAAAUGAAAAACAAGCUAAGACAAGUAUUGGAGAAGUAUAGAAGAUAGAAAAAUAUAAAGCCAAAAAUUGGAUAAAAUAGCACUGAAAAAAUGAGGAAAUUAUUGGUAACCAAUUUAUUUUAAAAGCCCAUCAAUUUAAUUUCUGGUGGUGCAGAAGUUAGAAGGUAAAGCUUGAGAAGAUGAGGGUGUUUACGUAGACCAGAACCAAUUUAGAAGAAUACUUGAAGCUAGAAGGGGAAGUUGGUUAAAAAUCACAUCAAAAAGCUACUAAAAGGACUGGUGUAAUUUAAAAAAAACUAAGGCAGAAGGCUUUUGGAAGAGUUAGAAGAAUUUGGAAGGCCUUAAAUAUAGUAGCUUAGUUUGAAAAAUGUGAAGGACUUUCGUAACGGAAGUAAUUCAAGAUCAAGAGUAAUUACCAACUUAAUGUUUUUGCAUUGGACUUUGAGUUAAGAUUAUUUUUUAAAUCCUGAGGACUAGCAUUAAUUGACAGCUGACCCAGGUGCUACACAGAAGUGGAUUCAGUGAAUCUAGGAAGACAGCAGCAGACAGGAUUCCAGGAACCAGUGUUUGAUGAAGCUAGGACUGAGGAGCAAGCGAGCAAGCAGCAGUUCGUGGUGAAGAUAGGAAAAGAGUCCAGGAGCCAGUGCGAUUUGGUGAAGGAAGCUAGGAAGAAGGAAGGAGCGCUAACGAUUUGGUGGUGAAGCUAGGAAAAAGGAUUCCAGGAAGGAGCGAGUGCAAUUUGGUGAUGAAGGUAGCAGGCGGCUUGGCUUGGCAACCACACGGAGGAGGCGAGCAGGCGUUGUGCGUAGAGGAUCCUAGACCAGCAUGCCAGUGUGCCAAGGCCACAGGGAAAGCGAGUGGUUGGUAAAAAUCCGUGAGGUCGGCAAUAUGUUGUUUUUCUGGAACUUACUUAUGGUAACCUUUUAUUUAUUUUCUAAUAUAAUGGGGGAGUUUCGUACUGAGGUGUAAAGGGAUUUAUAUGGGGACGUAGGCCGAUUUCCGGGUGUUGUAGGUUUCUCUUUUUCAGGCUUAUACUCAUGAAUCUUGUCUGAAGCUUUUGAGGGCAGACUGCCAAGUCCUGGAGAAAUAGUAGAUGGCAAGUUUGUGGGUUUUUUUUUUUUACACGAAUUUGAGGAAAACCAAAUGAAUUUGAUAGCCAAAUUGAGACAAUUUCAGCAAAUCUGUAAGCAGUUUGUAUGUUUAGUUGGGGUAAUGAAGUAUUUCAGUUUUGUGAAUAGAUGACCUGUUUUUACUUCCUCACCCUGAAUUCGUUUUGUAAAUGUAGAGUUUGGAUGUGUAACUGAGGCGGGGGGGAGUUUUCAGUAUUUUUUUUUGUGGGGGUGGGGGCAAAAUAUGUUUUCAGUUCUUUUUCCCUUAGGUCUGUCUAGAAUCCUAAAGGCAAAUGACUCAAGGUGUAACAGAAAACAAGAAAAUCCAAUAUCAGGAUAAUCAGACCACCACAGGUUUACAGUUUAUAGAAACUAGAGCAGUUCUCACGUUGAGGUCUGUGGAAGAGAUGUCCAUUGGAGAAAUGGCUGGUAGUUACUCUUUUUUCCCCCCACCCCCUUAAUCAGACUUUAAAAGUGCUUAACCCCUUAAACUUGUUAUUUUUUACUUGAAGCAUUUUGGGAUGGUCUUAACAGGGAAGAGAGAGGGUGGGGGAGAAAAUGUUUUUUUCUAAGAUUUUCCACAGAUGCUAUAGUACUAUUGACAAACUGGGUUAGAGAAGGAGUGUACCGCUGUGCUGUUGGCACGAACACCUUCAGGGACUGGAGCUGCUUUUAUCCUUGGAAGAGUAUUCCCAGUUGAAGCUGAAAAGUACAGCACAGUGCAGCUUUGGUUCAUAUUCAGUCAUCUCAGGAGAACUUCAGAAGAGCUUGAGUAGGCCAAAUGUUGAAGUUAAGUUUUCCAAUAAUGUGACUUCUUAAAAGUUUUAUUAAAGGGGAGGGGCAAAUAUUGGCAAUUAGUUGGCAGUGGCCUGUUACGGUUGGGAUUGGUGGGGUGGGUUUAGGUAAUUGUUUAGUUUAUGAUUGCAGAUAAACUCAUGCCAGAGAACUUAAAGUCUUAGAAUGGAAAAAGUAAAGAAAUAUCAACUUCCAAGUUGGCAAGUAACUCCCAAUGAUUUAGUUUUUUUCCCCCCAGUUUGAAUUGGGAAGCUGGGGGAAGUUAAAUAUGAGCCACUGGGUGUACCAGUGCAUUAAUUUGGGCAAGGAAAGUGUCAUAAUUUGAUACUGUAUCUGUUUUCCUUCAAAGUAUAGAGCUUUUGGGGAAGGAAAGUAUUGAACUGGGGGUUGGUCUGGCCUACUGGGCUGACAUUAACUACAAUUAUGGGAAAUGCAAAAGUUGUUUGGAUAUGGUAGUGUGUGGUUCUCUUUUGGAAUUUUUUUCAGGUGAUUUAAUAAUAAUUUAAAACUACUAUAGAAACUGCAGAGCAAAGGAAGUGGCUUAAUGAUCCUGAAGGGAUUUCUUCUGAUGGUAGCUUUUGUAUUAUCAAGUAAGAUUCUAUUUUCAGUUGUGUGUAAGCAAGUUUUUUUUUAGUGUAGGAGAAAUACUUUUCCAUUGUUUAACUGCAAAACAAGAUGUUAAGGUAUGCUUCAAAAAUUUUGUAAAUUGUUUAUUUUAAACUUAUCUGUUUGUAAAUUGUAACUGAUUAAGAAUUGUGAUAGUUCAGCUUGAAUGUCUCUUAGAGGGUGGGCUUUUGUUGAUGAGGGAGGGGAAACUUUUUUUUUUUCUAUAGACUUUUUUCAGAUAACAUCUUCUGAGUCAUAACCAGCCUGGCAGUAUGAUGGCCUAGAUGCAGAGAAAACAGCUCCUUGGUGAAUUGAUAAGUAAAGGCAGAAAAGAUUAUAUGUCAUACCUCCAUUGGGGAAUAAGCAUAACCCUGAGAUUCUUACUACUGAUGAGAACAUUAUCUGCAUAUGCCAAAAAAUUUUAAGCAAAUGAAAGCUACCAAUUUAAAGUUACGGAAUCUACCAUUUUAAAGUUAAUUGCUUGUCAAGCUAUAACCACAAAAAUAAUGAAUUGAUGAGAAAUACAAUGAAGAGGCAAUGUCCAUCUCAAAAUACUGCUUUUACAAAAGCAGAAUAAAAGCGAAAAGAAAUGAAAAUGUUACACUACAUUAAUCCUGGAAUAAAAGAAGCCGAAAUAAAUGAGAGAUGAGUUGGGAUCAAGUGGAUUGAGGAGGCUGUGCUGUGUGCCAAUGUUUCGUUUGCCUCAGACAGGUAUCUCUUCGUUAUCAGAAGAGUUGCUUCAUUUCAUCUGGGAGCAGAAAACAGCAGGCAGCUGUUAACAGAUAAGUUUAACUUGCAUCUGCAGUAUUGCAUGUUAGGGAUAAGUGCUUAUUUUUAAGAGCUGUGGAGUUCUUAAAUAUCAACCAUGGCACUUUCUCCUGACCCCUUCCCUAGGGGAUUUCAGGAUUGAGAAAUUUUUCCAUCGAGCCUUUUUAAAAUUGUAGGACUUGUUCCUGUGGGCUUCAGUGAUGGGAUAGUACACUUCACUCAGAGGCAUUUGCAUCUUUAAAUAAUUUCUUAAAAGCCUCUAAAGUGAUCAGUGCCUUGAUGCCAACUAAGGAAAUUUGUUUAGCAUUGAAUCUCUGAAGGCUCUAUGAAAGGAAUAGCAUGAUGUGCUGUUAGAAUCAGAUGUUACUGCUAAAAUUUACAUGUUGUGAUGUAAAUUGUGUAGAAAACCAUUAAAUCAUUCAAAAUAAUAAACUAUUUUUAUUAGAGAAUGUAUACUUUUAGAAAGCUGUCUCCUUAUUUAAAUAAAAUAGUGUUUGUCUGUAGUUCAGUGUUGGGGCAAUCUUGGGGGGGAUUCUUCUCUAAUCUUUCAGAAACUUUGUCUGCGAACACUCUUUAAUGGACCAGAUCAGGAUUUGAGCGGAAGAACGAAUGUAACUUUAAGGCAGGAAAGACAAAUUUUAUUCUUCAUAAAGUGAUGAGCAUAUAAUAAUUCCAGGCACAUGGCAAUAGAGGCCCUCUAAAUAAGGAAUAAAUAACCUCUUAGACAGGUGGGAGAUUAUGAUCAGAGUAAAAGGUAAUUACACAUUUUAUUUCCAGAAAGUCAGGGGUCUAUAAAUUGACAGUGAUUAGAGUAAUACUUUUUCACAUUUCCAAAGUUUGCAUGUUAACUUUAAAUGCUUACAAUCUUAGAGUGGUAGGCAAUGUUUUACACUAUUGACCUUAUAUAGGGAAGGGAGGGGGUGCCUGUGGGGUUUUAAAGAAUUUUCCUUUGCAGAGGCAUUUCAUCCUUCAUGAAGCCAUUCAGGAUUUUGAAUUGCAUAUGAGUGCUUGGCUCUUCCUUCUGUUCUAGUGAGUGUAUGAGACCUUGCAGUGAGUUUAUCAGCAUACUCAAAAUUUUUUUCCUGGAAUUUGGAGGGAUGGGAGGAGGGGGUGGGGCUUACUUGUUGUAGCUUUUUUUUUUUUUACAGACUUCACAGAGAAUGCAGUUGUCUUGACUUCAGGUCUGUCUGUUCUGUUGGCAAGUAAAUGCAGUACUGUUCUGAUCCCGCUGCUAUUAGAAUGCAUUGUGAAACGACUGGAGUAUGAUUAAAAGUUGUGUUCCCCAAUGCUUGGAGUAGUGAUUGUUGAAGGAAAAAAUCCAGCUGAGUGAUAAAGGCUGAGUGUUGAGGAAAUUUCUGCAGUUUUAAGCAGUCGUAUUUGUGAUUGAAGCUGAGUACAUUUUGCUGGUGUAUUUUUAGGUAAAAUGCUUUUUGUUCAUUUCUGGUGGUGGGAGGGGACUGAAGCCUUUAGUCUUUUCCAGAUGCAACCUUAAAAUCAGUGACAAGAAACAUUCCAAACAAGCAACAGUCUUCAAGAAAUUAAACUGGCAAGUGGAAAUGUUUAAACAGUUCAGUGAUCUUUAGUGCAUUGUUUAUGUGUGGGUUUCUCUCUCCCCUCCCUUGGUCUUAAUUCUUACAUGCAGGAACACUCAGCAGACACACGUAUGCGAAGGGCCAGAGAAGCCAGACCCAGUAAGAAAAAAUAGCCUAUUUACUUUAAAUAAACCAAACAUUCCAUUUUAAAUGUGGGGAUUGGGAACCACUAGUUCUUUCAGAUGGUAUUCUUCAGACUAUAGAAGGAGCUUCCAGUUGAAUUCACCAGUGGACAAAAUGAGGAAAACAGGUGAACAAGCUUUUUCUGUAUUUACAUACAAAGUCAGAUCAGUUAUGGGACAAUAGUAUUGAAUAGAUUUCAGCUUUAUGCUGGAGUAACUGGCAUGUGAGCAAACUGUGUUGGCGUGGGGGUGGAGGGGUGAGGUGGGCGCUAAGCCUUUUUUUAAGAUUUUUCAGGUACCCCUCACUAAAGGCACCGAAGGCUUAAAGUAGGACAACCAUGGAGCCUUCCUGUGGCAGGAGAGACAACAAAGCGCUAUUAUCCUAAGGUCAAGAGAAGUGUCAGCCUCACCUGAUUUUUAUUAGUAAUGAGGACUUGCCUCAACUCCCUCUUUCUGGAGUGAAGCAUCCGAAGGAAUGCUUGAAGUACCCCUGGGCUUCUCUUAACAUUUAAGCAAGCUGUUUUUAUAGCAGCUCUUAAUAAUAAAGCCCAAAUCUCAAGCGGUGCUUGAAGGGGAGGGAAAGGGGGAAAGCGGGCAACCACUUUUCCCUAGCUUUUCCAGAAGCCUGUUAAAAGCAAGGUCUCCCCACAAGCAACUUCUCUGCCACAUCGCCACCCCGUGCCUUUUGAUCUAGCACAGACCCUUCACCCCUCACCUCGAUGCAGCCAGUAGCUUGGAUCCUUGUGGGCAUGAUCCAUAAUCGGUUUCAAGGUAACGAUGGUGUCGAGGUCUUUGGUGGGUUGAACUAUGUUAGAAAAGGCCAUUAAUUUGCCUGCAAAUUGUUAACAGAAGGGUAUUAAAACCACAGCUAAGUAGCUCUAUUAUAAUACUUAUCCAGUGACUAAAACCAACUUAAACCAGUAAGUGGAGAAAUAACAUGUUCAAGAACUGUAAUGCUGGGUGGGAACAUGUAACUUGUAGACUGGAGAAGAUAGGCAUUUGAGUGGCUGAGAGGGCUUUUGGGUGGGAAUGCAAAAAUUCUCUGCUAAGACUUUUUCAGGUGAACAUAACAGACUUGGCCAAGCUAGCAUCUUAGCGGAAGCUGAUCUCCAAUGCUCUUCAGUAGGGUCAUGAAGGUUUUUCUUUUCCUGAGAAAACAACACGUAUUGUUUUCUCAGGUUUUGCUUUUUGGCCUUUUUCUAGCUUAAAAAAAAAAAAAGCAAAAGAUGCUGGUGGUUGGCACUCCUGGUUUCCAGGACGGGGUUCAAAUCCCUGCGGCGUCUUUGCUUUGACUACUAAUCUGUCUUCAGGACUCUUUCUGUAUUUCUCCUUUUCUCUGCAGGUGCUAGUUCUUGGAGUUUUGGGGAGGUGGGAGGUAACAGCACAAUAUCUUUGAACUAUAUACAUCCUUGAUGUAUAAUUUGUCAGGAGCUUGACUUGAUUGUAUAUUCAUAUUUACACGAGAACCUAAUAUAACUGCCUUGUCUUUUUCAGGUAAUAGCCUGCAGCUGGUGUUUUGAGAAGCCCUACUGCUGAAAACUUAACAAUUUUGUGUAAUAAAAAUGGAGAAGCUCUAAAUUGUUGUGGUUCUUUUGUGAAUAAAAAAAUCUUGAUUGGGGAAAAAA
rnacentral:lncRNA from 1 species